AAAAUCCCAAAAUGUGGGCGUGUUCCUUUAAAUGUAGUCAAAAAUAGGUAUUUACCAUAGCAUGUUUUUUCCGGUCAUUUGCCGGAUCCCGGAGCCAUUCCUCCAGACGUUGAAGUUCUCCCUCGCUGUCUAUGGGGAACUGGAACUCUUCCGGCAUUUCGUGGUUGGGGUGUCCUUCCGUGUGUACAUUAGUCUUACCUGUGCAUCUAAUGGGGCCAGUACCAUUGCUCACCCUAACAGAGGGCCUGAAGAAGAAGCCCUGUUCCCUACUGUCACCAUCUAAUGGAGCAAAGCCAGGUGAAAAAGCUGAUGCAGCCAGAGGAGAGCCAGGGCUUGGAUGCAGAGGCCCUUAGAGAGGACGCUGUGGACAACAAAUCUACUCCUAAUUCUAACCCCCCCGCC